AGGUCCUGACCACCAGGGUGGGAGACAUCCUGAACAGUACCUGCAACGACGAUUACAAGGCCAGGCUCAUCAUCCAGAAAGGAUUGGAUUCCGGUGCCAGGGAAAGGUUCCCUGACUCUCCGUGUUCCUCUUCACCCAAGGACGAAGAGGAGGUGGUUGUAAGUGUCAUGACUGUCUCAUACCCUAAACCCUCCACCUCAACCCAGGCAGCAUGGGCAGCUCCUGCCCAGACUCUGGAAGAAGAGGUGGUGGGGGCUGAGGUCUCCAAGAUGAGUGACAGCUCCCUGAUGCCCACCAAGAACAGGCAGGACCCCCUGGAGAAGAUUCCCUCCCUCCUACCAUGCAAGGAGCACAUCCUCCUUUGCAGCACUCCCUGGGCCACCGUCAUGGGCCCCCAGACUCUGAAGUUUAUUCUCCACGGCAUCAUGUGCCGACUGGAGGCCUCAGAGUCCCCCCAGACAAGGAGGGCCAAUGACCCCUUCAGGCUGAUGAAGGAUCUCUUUGUGGAGGUCCAGCAUGCCCUGAAGUAUGCUGACAUCUCUGUCGUCUUUGGCCUGGAGGAGAGCAUCCAAUUCAGUGGGGAGGAUGCGGUGAAUGCCAUCGUGAAGACUGCGGCUAAAAGAUUGUCCCUGCGUUCGGACUCCAACCGGGCUCAACUGCGUGCCGCACGCUCUGGUAGCGAGGGAGCCAUCAGGUGCAUGGCAGACACCAUCACACAAGUCAUAGAUGACUAUUCCGAGGACUGGAGUUUCAAAGGCCAUUUUGGAGCCAGGAGGAGCCGUGGUAGUGGGAGGUCACACUCCUCAACCUCCUCAAGGAGUGACGUCACCCUCACCGAGGAGCUCCUGGCUUGGAGGGAAACCCUAGAAGAGGACCUAGAGGAGAUGGCUGAUGACAGCACUGGUUUGGAAAAGACCAGUGUAAGCUCAGCCAUCUCUGAAAAGUCCCAGGUAAUUAGCUACCUUUCUGAAAGCACCAAGCCCAUCAGCAGCGCCCUCUCCACAGACCUCGAGGACAUCACCUCCACACAGGUGAGACGGCCAAAAACCAGUAGAUCGUUUAGUUAUUUGGGCUGUUUGAUUGUGAGGCAUCGACUCUUGUCUGUUUCUCUCCCUACUAAGAAGGAAGAGGCUAUGAUGAAAGAAGUGAGGAAGUCAGGAAAGAAGAAGCGAGGAAAUAACAAGAACCAGAAGAAGAACAAGGUGUCGCCUCUUAGCAAUGAUAGUACUGUGGCUGCAGAUGAGCCUAAGAAAAAACAGGCUCUCCUCCCGCGGAUCACAGCCGCCCUGGCAAAACUAUUUUGCUUCCCCUGCAAAAAAAAAUGCAAAUAGUAACUGUGCAGAAGAUGAGUUUGGGAAAACCCUGCUGCCACCUCCCCCAACCCACUUUCUAAAUAAACUCUCAAAGCCAACAGAAGAGGGAGAGAGACAACCCCCCUACUCACAACUCAUUUUAUAACACCCCAUUUAAUUCAAUAAACACAACUUGCAGCUAUUUUGAUGU
rnacentral:lncRNA from 1 species